UGGUGCGAUCAUACCAGCACUAAUGCACCGGAUCCCAUCAGAACUCCGAAGUUAAACGUGCUUGGGCGAGAGUAGUACUAAGAUGGGUGACCUCUUGGGAAUUCCUUGUGUUGCACCCC
rnacentral:rRNA from 1 species